AUUGAACGCUGGCGGCAUGCUUUACACAUGCAAGUCGAACGGUAACAGGCCGCAAGUUGCUGACGAUUGGCGAACGGGUGAGUAAUGCAUCGGAACGUGCCCAGCCGUGGGGGUUAACUACUCGAAAGAGUAGCUAAUACCGCAUACGAUCUAUGGAUGAAAGCGGGGGACCGUAAGGCCUCGCUCGAUUGGGUCGGCCGAUGUCAGAUUAGGUAGUUGGUGGGGUAAAGGCUCACCAAGCCAACGAUCUGUAGCUGGUCUGAGAGGACGACCAGCCACACUGGGACUGAGACACGGCCCAGACUCCUACGGGAGGCAGCAGUGGGGAAUUUUGGACAAUGGGCGCAAGCCUGAUCCAGCAAUGCCGCGUGCAGGAAGAAGGCCUUCGGGUUGUAAACUGCUUUUGUACGGAACGAAACGGCUCUGGUUAAUACCCGGGGCUAAUGACGGUACCGUAAGAAUAAGCACCGGCUAACUACGUG
rnacentral:rRNA from 1 species